AAUUUUAUCCCUUUUUGGGGUGCCCGGUGGCUCGGUCCGUGGACCAUGCGAGUCUUGACCUCGAGAUUGUGAGGUUGAGCCCCACGCUGGGUGUAGAGAUUACUUGAAAAUAAAAUCUUUUUUAUUUAAAUAUGAAAUUUAUUGUCAAAUUGGUUUCCAUACAACACCCAGUGCUCAUCCCAACAGGUGCCCUCCUCGAUGCCCGUCACCCACUUUCCCCUCCCUCCCGCCCCCCAGGAAAUAAAAUCUUAAAAACAUAGAAUUUUGUUCCUUUUGAAGGCUGAAGAACGUUUCAUUGUAUGUCUCUUGUCACAUUUUGUUUAUCCAUAUGACAUUUUGUUUAUUCAUUCAUUAUUGGUUGCUUGGGGUACAAAUAUCUGUUCCAGUCCCGACUUGCGAUUCUUUUGAGUUUACGCCCAGAAGUGGAAUUGCUUCAAAUAUCUUUUAGACAUCUACUGAUGUCAUGUUUUUGCCCUCUGAUACAUUCAUAUUACUAAUUAUAGUAACAUAAUUCCUAAUUGAAUCAUCUGUGCACUCUUGACAUGAACUUCACUUGAUUCAUUCUCCUUCCUUCCUUCCUUUCUCUCUCUCCUUUUUUUCUUGAAACAGUACCCUUUUAUUCUUUUUUAAUGUUUAUGUACUUGAGAGACAGCAUGAGUGGGAGAGAAGCAGAGAGAGAGGGAGAGAGAGAAUCCCAAGCAGGCUCCUGGCUGUCAGCGCAGAGCCCGACGCGGGGCUCGAUCCCACAAACCGUGAGAUCAUGACCUGAGCCGAAAUGAAGAGUCAGACGCUUAACUGACUGAGCCACCCACAUGCCCCCCCCCCAUUACUCUUGAAAUCGUUGUUCUAUAGAUGAUAAAUUAUAUGGGCACAGUUCAAUACAGCACCCCAACAGUUAUCAUUUCUAUUGUAUAGGUUAAAGGGGGAAGGUUCAGAGAGGUUAGCUGACCUCCUCAAGGUCACACGGCUAGAAUUUGUCAUUAAAACACAGGUGCAGAGCAAGCCGAGUGCUAUUUCUUGUGCCUGGAAAUAGUCCUUGUACCCCCACCCCAAAUACAAAUGUCACACUUUCUGACUACAUAUUUGGGGGGGGGGGGCUAAAUUAUUUUUUUAUUAAAUCCCUCUCCUCGGGGAACCUGGGUGGCUCAGUCAGUGGAGUGGCUGACUCUUGAUUUCAGCUUGGGUUGUGAUCCCAGGGUCAUGAGAUCGAGCCCCAGGUCCACACCCAGGGUGAAGCCUGCUUGGGAUUCUCUCUCUUUCCCUCUGUCCUUCUCUCCUGCUUGUGCUCUCUCUCUCUCUCUCU